AGAUUUCGUGAGAGUCACUCAGAGAAAAUACCCCGAGAAUGGAGUCGCUGGGCGAGGGAGAGAAAGUGCUGGAGCGCAAGUUCCUGACCACAGAGGCGGCGCCACAUGGAGCUAAUGGGGAUUCUUAAUUGUUUAAGAUAUUUGAAAAUGCAUAGCAGGAAAUAAUGGUUUAGUUUACCAAGUAGAAGAAAUAAAAUCACCAAGAUAUACU
ensembl:ncRNA lncRNA:CR45634 long non-coding RNA:CR45634